rnacentral:piRNA from 1 species
UGGAAUGUCUUUCAAAUCCCAUUUCCCCAGG